rnacentral:lncRNA from 1 species
UCCUUGGUCCAUUAUGCCAGCUAGUCAACUUCAAAUCACAAGCUAAUAGCAGAAGAUUCUACAUGAUAACUUACAAUUAUAUUGACUAUGAUUUUUGGUAAUUUUUAUUGUGCUUUGUGAAUUGUUUUUAUAAAGUUUUAUUGUCAAACUCAAUCACUGGUA